GACGAACGCUGGCGGCGUGCUUAACACAUGCAAGUCGAACGGAAAGGCCCUGCUUUUGUGGGUUGCUCGAGUUGCGAACGGGUGAGUAACACGUGAGUAACCUGCCCUUGACUUUGGGAUAACUUCAGGAAACUGGGGCUAAUACCGGAUAGGAGCUCCUGCUGCAUGGUGGGUGUUGGAAAGUUUCGGCGGUUGGGGAUGGACUCGCGGCUUAUCAGCUUGUUGGUGGGGUAGUGGCUUACCAAGGCUUUGACGGGUAGCCGGCCUGAGAGGGUGACCGGCCACAUUGGGACUGAGAUACGGCCCAGACUCCUACGGGAGGCAGCAGUGGGGAAUAUUGCACAAUGGGCGGAAGCCUGAUGCAGCAACGCCGCGUGCGGGAUGACGGCCUUCGGGUUGUAAACCGCUUUCGCCUGUGACGAAGCGUGAGUGACGGUAAUGGGUAAAGAAGCACCGGCUAACUACGUG
rnacentral:rRNA from 1 species